CCGAGUUGAGGAUGAGCAUCCGACCGUUAUUCUAGAAAUGAACGGUCUUGAUCAAAAUUGUAUCCCCUUGUUUAUGAGCUCUUCCACUUGAUCACAUUGUUCAGUGGUAUCGCUGGUAUCGCCGCCCCAACCCCGCACCUACGCCGCUACGCCGCCCGCGUCCGCCACCACCUCCUAUCUCCACAUCGCAGCUCCACCCGAAGGGAUGCCACUGAUUACUCGCAGGCUCCCUACUCUCCGGUCGUCUCCUUCGACCCCGAUCCCUCUUCGCAACCCGUUGUCUUCUUCCCACGCCGCGAGCCAUUGGAGGAUGGGGAGGAAGCACAGCAAGCCUCGCUCGAUCAGCUGUACCGUCCGGUUCCGCCCCUGCAUCGACUUCCACAAGUAUAUUUUCAGCGAUGGGAAGAUGGACCCUGAGCGACUUAAACAUCUUGUCAAUAUGAUUGGCAAGAAUAGACUUGUGUUGGAUCUUAGCUGCAGAAAGAAGGUAUACUAUUUUCUUUGCUAGUAAUUGUAGCAUGGACUUGUAUGCAAUUGAUGUUCUGAUUUUGGAAACCUAUUUGAGGAAAAGAGGGAAUUUAAGGAGAAAGUUGACAUUAGAUUCUCCAAUAUCCUGAUGGUUUCUCAAUUUGAGAGCAACCUAGUAAUACUGAGUCUGCAUGGAAGACAUGGUUGUUUUUCUCUUUCUUCCACAUUUCUAAUUGCUCCAUGUCAUUAAAGGCAUCCAGGUUUAGAGCUUUUGACGGAUAGCUGCAAAGGUCAUGGUGAGGGGAAGGUAGUGGCAGGGAAAGAUAAAAGAGAAAGAGAAAAGAAGGGAAUGUAAUGUUGCCAGAACUUACAUUUGCUUUAUUCACUAGCAUGGUUUUUAGAAUUUGUGGCUGGAGAUGAGCACUACUACUACAUUGGCAUAUGACUGAAUACAAGAGUUGAUUGAGAUGAGGAUUCUCUCUAAUGAGAUCCACAGUAGUAGAUAUAGUGAUGGUAUGUUGCACUGCAAUUAUUUGUGAUUUUUGUUGAUUGACAUGACAGUUAAAAUCCUCAAGAACCAAGUAAGACAACUAGUUACAAAGUUGGAAAGAACCAAGGAAAUGAGCAAUGACUCCAAGGUGAGAUAUGUGAAUACCAAUCCAAAAUUGAUUGAAUGUGACUCUGAUAUAACUCAAGUCUCUGUUGGGAAUUCACUUAUGGGUGGUUUGUCAAGUGAAGAUUUCUAUGCAAGGAAGUUGUGAGAUUGUAAGAGUAUAUAUCUGGAGAUGCUCCGUGUAGUUACUCUGCACACCUCAAAGAUUUGGGACGUUAUUAUUCAAGACAUAAAGAAAAAAGAAUUUCUGCAUAUCUUCCCAAUAAUCUUGAUGAACUUGGAAGUUCUAUCACUUCUACAACUCAUGCACAGAUUCUCUGUAGAGAUGGAACAACUGAUGUCAAAAUUCAGAACACAUCUCAAUAAAGAUGAUUGAUAUUCUUAUGAUCCUA